rnacentral:snRNA from 1 species
GUGCUUGCUUCGUCGGGACACGCACUGAAACCAGAAUGACCCACAGAAGAUCGGCGUGGUCUCUGGGCAAGGAUGGCACGCAAAUUCACGAAGCGGGGCUAUCUUUA